rnacentral:snoRNA from 1 species
GCACAAAGCAUAUAGACAGCAGUUUGAUUCCUGGUCCUGGAACCAAAGCAGGUAAAGGAGCAAACCACUGGGGGUGGGUGAGGGAUGGGAGGUCAAAUGUUCCUUAUUGGUGCU